rnacentral:rRNA from 1 species
GGGGAAUAUUGCGCAAUGGGCGAAAGCCUGACGCAGCCACGCCGCGUGAGCGAUGAAGGCCUUCGGGUCGUAAAGCUCUGUGGGGAGAGAAGAAUAAAGCCUGUGAAGAGCGGGCCUUGACGGUAUCUCCUUAGCAAGCACCGGCUAACUCCGUGCCAGCAGCCGCGGUAAUACGGAGGGUGCAAACGUUGCUCGGAAUCAUUGGGCGUAAAGCGCACGUAGGCGGCGAAGUAAGUUGGGUGUGAAAGCCCCGGGCUCAACCCGGGAAGUGCAUUCAAAACUGUUUCGCUUGAAUCUCGGAGGGGGUCAGAGAAUUCCCGGUGUAGAGGUGAAAUUCGUAGAUAUCGGGAGGAAUACCAGUGGCGAAGGCGCUGACCUGGACGAAGAUUGACGCUGAGGUGCGAAAGCGCGGGGAGCAAAC